rnacentral:snRNA from 11 species
AUACCUUCUCGGCCUUUUGGCUAAGAUCAAGUGUAGUAUCUGUUCUUAUCAGAGUGAUAUCUGAUAUCUCCUACGAGGAGAAUGAUAUCACUGCAAUUUUUAAAUGGGGCUGGGUUUACUUGGGGCUUGCCCCGGUCCCAGCAUAGUCGACCCUGACUUACACGACCUCGGGGAACGGCUAACCCGCU